rnacentral:rRNA from 1 species
AGUGAACGCUGGCGGUAGGCCUAACACAUGCAAGUCGAACGGCAGCACAGUAAGAGCUUGCUCUUACGGGUGGCGAGUGGCGGACGGGUGAGGAAUACAUCGGAAUCUACUUUUUCGUGGGGGCUAACGUAGGGAAACUUCCGCUAAUACCGCAUACGACCUACGGGUGAAAGCAGGGGAUCUUCGGACCUUGCGCGAUUGAAUGAGCCGAUGUCGGAUUAGCUAGUUGGCGGGGUAAAGGCCCACCAAGGCGACGAUCCGUAGCUGGUCUGAGAGGAUGAUCAGCCACACUGGAACUGAGACACGGUCCAGACUCCUACGGGAGGCAGCAGUGGGGAAUAUUGGACAAUGGGCGCAAGCCUGAUCCAGCCAUACCGCGUGGGUGAAGAAGGCCUUCGGGUUGUAAAGCCCUUUUGUUGGGAAAGAAAAGCAGCAGGUUAAUACCCCGCUGUUCUGACGGUACCCAAAGAAUAAGCACCGGCUAACUUCGUG